rnacentral:lncRNA from 1 species
UCCCAUUUGAGGAGAGACAUUUGUUCAAGACACUUUUUUUCUCCUCUCACUGACAAUACGUAAGGCAGAAAGUUGGUGUCUACGUUGCUGCAUGGCUGCAGAAUAGAUUGUUUCGAGAAGGUGAACUCUGGAAAGGCAUAGCCAAUUCAUGGUGAAUGGAAGACCUGUGUGUCACUUCUGGGCUGCAAUAUUUAAUUACAAGUCUGAACUGUCCAGAACGAUCUUCCUCCUUCCAAAGAGAUCUUGGAAGCACAUGUUGCAAUAGAGCUUGUGAGCUUCUAGUUCACUGAAUGACUCAUUGAAUAGAGUUCUUUCGACAACCAGAAAAUGGGCAUAAGGGAAAAUAAACUUUUUUUUUCUGUUAAA